rnacentral:tRNA from 1 species
UGGCAGGUAGUUUAACAGUAGAACGCCUAACUAUCCUUGUUCACACCUUGCCCGCAAGGGCCGACGAUCGAGGGUUAUCGCUUUGGGAGCAGGAAAUGUGGGUGCAACUCCCACUCUGCCAA